rnacentral:lncRNA from 12 species
AUGGCUGGGUGCUGCAGGUGGGACCGGAGCUCUGCAGUGCUCCAUGGCUGGGUGCCGCAGUUCCCUGCUGCUCCAUCUCGGGCUGCCCCCGCUCUGUGCUGCCGUUCCUUUGCCCCUGGAGCAGCUGACAAAGGGCGUUCGGUGCGGGGCAUUCCGAUGCACACACGUAGGGUCCUGCAGCCCGUGAGCCAUCGGUGUAUUUUUAGUUCACAGGCACAGGGAGGUUGCUUCCCUGACUCGCAGCUGGGUGUGGCGUGGGGUUAACCAGAUUAAUUAAAGCUGGCUCAGAGGUUCAGGCUUUCAGAAAUGGCUCGCAGCCCCCAUUCUUCUGUUACAUAAAUUUUUUCACCGUAGAACAAGCUGGAGUUCUGAAAGGGGGGAUUUCUGGAAUACUGAGCCGAGAGAUUACCAGGAGGGAGAUGCAGGAUAGUGCAGAACUAGAAGAAAGAUGUCUCUAAUGCUUUUGUAGGGGAAAACAUUUAAGGUAUAAAUUGAAAUAUUUUAACAUAUGACCAAUUUCCCUUUUUCUGUAAUGUCUUUUAGUUUGCUUCCAGUAUAUGUCCCUCUCAGCUCUAUCAGUUAUUUGGGUUUUGCAUAUUCCACUUUCUUGUUCUCAGCCUUUUAAGAGUGUUUGCUCAAAGUCUGGUCUUACUUUCAGUAUUUUAUAGUGCUUUUUCUGUCUAUUGGCACACCACAAAAAGCACUGCUCUUUUACUCACUUGCUACCUAUGGCAGAGAUGACUCAAUUAUAAUUUAUUUUUUAUUCAGAUUUAUUAAGAUUUUCUUUGUGUAUAAGAAAUUUUUUGUGUAUAAGAAUUUUGUGUAGAAUGUUUAUAAGAAAGUUUUUUGGUGAAACUGAAGGAUUGUGGUGAGGCAGGUGAAGAUGUGUGUGCUCCCUUUUGUUUGCAUGGAAUUAUUGCAAAAAUGUAGGAACCCACAGGGAAAAUCCUGCAGAGCAGAUGCAGAGGGGACCAUUGGACUUGGAAGUGUUGCUGAGAAGAAAAAAUACUGGUUAAUCACACUUUAAUUUUUUUUAAUUCCUAAUUUAUUGCUACCCAAAAAAUGCUAUUUAUAUUGUUUCCAAAUCAUUACCAUAGAAA